UUGGAGGGCAAGUCUGGUGCCAGCAGCCGCGGUAAUUCCAGCUCCAAUAGCGUAUAUUAAAGUUGUUGCAGUUAAAAAGCUCGUAGUUGAAUUUCGGGAUCAGCAGGUUGGUCGUGCCAAUGGUAUGCACUGGCCUUGCUGAUUCCUCCCUCUUGAUGAGCCGUAAUGCCAUUAAUUUGGUGUUGCGGGGAAUCAGGACCGUUACUUUGAAAAAAUUAGAGUGUUUAAAGCAGGCAAGCGCUUGAAUACAUUAGCAUGGAAUAAUGAAAUAGGACGUUUGAUCCUAUUUUGUUGGUUUCUAGGAUUGACGUAAUGAUUAAUAGGGAUAGUUGGGGGCAUUAGUAUUCAAUUGUCAGAGGUGAAAUUCUUGGAUUUAUUGAAGACUAACUACUGCGAAAGCAUUUGCCAAGGAUGUUUUCAUUAAUCAAGAACGAAAGUUAGGGGAUCGAAGACGAUCAGAUACCGUCGUAGUCUUAACCAUAAACUAUGCCGACUAGGGAUCGGAUGCUGUUAAUUUUUUAAUGACUCAUUCGGCGCCUUACGGGAAAC
rnacentral:rRNA from 1 species